GCAGAGGCUCUAUGUCACAAUGUUUCCUUGCAAUGAAUGCGCGAAGAUUAUCAUUCAGUCUGGUGUUUCAGAGGUCAUUUAUUUUGUGGAGAAGAGGUUGGACGGUUCUGACGUGGCGUAUAUUGCUUCCCACAAACUUUUGUCAAUGGCAGGCAUAAAAGUAAGGAGGCAUCAACCACAAAUGAAAGAGAUCUCGAUCAAGUUUGAAGAGCUAUAGACGGUCCUGAUGUGUCUAUGCAGCUCUUUCUCUCUUGAUUAAAUGAUCGACUGGAUUGAUUGCAUCUUAGUUAAUGCUGCUAAGAUGGCUGAGGAUUCUCAACUUACCAUGUAGGGUGUUCAACUCUUGAGAUGUGUGCCAAUGUUUGAACUGCUGCGUUGAAGCUCAAACUUCUUACUAUUCCCUAAAGCACCUUCACUCGUUGUUCUAAAGAAGCUGAGUUAACUUACCAUUAAGCAGUUUUAUAGGUCCCAAGUGAACUCUCUUUAUGCAGAGAAUAAGUAUUGUAAUACUUCCAUCUGUAUCCAUCUUUUAACUAGUUUAAAACAGAAAAUAUGCUUAUGUAGAAAUCCACUUGUAAACAGAUUCUCCGAUGUCUAUGGAUUGGGGCAUUAAUUCC